GGACCUAUAGCUCAACGUUAGAGCAACCGGCUCAUAACCGGUUGGCUACUGGUUCGAAUCCAGUUAGGUCCACCA
rnacentral:tRNA from 1 species